GACAGAGGAGCCAAGCGUUGUCCGGAGUUACUGGGCGUAAAGCGCACGCAGGUGGUGCGGUACGUGCUUUGUGAAAGCCGGCGGCUUAACUGCCGGAGGCCAAGGCCUACGACCGGACUGGAGCCUGGGAGAGGUCCGUGGAAUUGCCGAUGUAGCAGUGAAAUGCGUAGAUAUGGGCAGGAACACCAAAGGGGAAGCCAGCGGACUGGUCCAGUGCUGACACUCAAGUGCGAGAGCGUGGGGAGCGAACCGG
rnacentral:rRNA from 1 species